AACAGGAUUAGAUACCCUGGUAGUCCACGCUGUAAACGAUGUCGAUUUGGAGGUUGUGCCCUUGAGGCGUGGCUUCCGGAGCUAACGCGUUAAAUCGACCGCCUGGGGAGUACGGCCGCAAGGUUAAAACUCAAAUGAAUUGACGGGGGCCCGCACAAGCGGUGGAGCAUGUGGUUUAAUUCGAUGCAACGCGAAGAACCUUACCUACUCUUGACAUCCAGAGAACUUAGCAGAGAUGCUUUGGUGCCUUCGGGAACUCUGAGACAGGUGCUGCAUGGCUGUCGUCAGCUCGUGUUGUGAAAUGUUGGGUUAAGUCCCGCAACGAGCGCAACCCUUAUCCUUUGUUGCCAGCGCGUAAUGGCGGGAACUCAAAGGAGACUGCCGGUGAUAAACCGGAGGAAGGUGGGGAUGACGUCAAGUCAUCAUGGCCCUUACGAGUAGGGCUACACACGUGCUACAAUGGCGCAUACAAAGAGAAGCGACCUCGCGAGAGCAAGCGGACCUCAUAAAGUGCGUCGUAGUCCGGAUUGGAGUCUGCAACUCGACUCCAUGAAGUCGGAAUCGCUAGUAAUCGUAAAUCAGAAUGUUACGGUGAAUACGUUCCCGGGCCUUGUACACACCGCCCGUCACACCAUGGGAGUGGGUUGCAAAAGAAGUAGAUAGCUUAACCUUCGGGAGGGCGUUUACCACUUUGUGAUUCAUGACUGGGGUGAAGUCGUAACAAGGUAACCGUAGGGGAACCUGCGGCUGGAUCACCUCCUU
rnacentral:rRNA from 1 species